rnacentral:rRNA from 1 species
UACGUAGGGUGCAAGCGUUAAUCGGAAUUACUGGGCGUAAAGCGUGCGCAGGCGGUUCUAUAAGACAGAUGUGAAAUCCCCGGGCUCAACCUGGGAACUGCAUUUGUGACUGUAGAGCUGGAGUACGGCAGAGGGGGAUGGAAUUCCGCGUGUAGCAGUGAAAUGCGUAGAUAUGCGGAGGAACACCGAUGGCGAAGGCAAUCCCCUGGGCCUGUACUGACGCUCAUGCACGAAAGCGUGGG